rnacentral:rRNA from 1 species
AUUGAACGCUGGCGGCAGGCCUAACACAUGCAAGUCGAGCGGCAGCGGGUCCUUCGGGAUGCCGGCGAGCGGCGGACGGGUGAGUAAUGCCUAGGAAUCUGCCUGGUAGUGGGGGAUAACGUAGGGAAACUUACGCUAAUACCGCAUACGACCUACGGGUGAAAGCGGCGGACCGCAAGGCGUCGCGCGAUUGGAUGAGCCGAUGUCCGAUUAGCUAGUUGGCGGGGUAAAGGCCCACCAAGGCGACGAUCGGUAGCUGGUCUGAGAGGAUGAUCAGCCACACUGGAACUGAGACACGGUCCAGACUCCUACGGGAGGCAGCAGUGGGGAAUAUUGGACAAUGGGCGCAAGCCUGAUCCAGCCAUGCCGCGUGUGUGAAGAAGGCCUUCGGGUUGUAAAGCACUUUUGUUGGGGAAGAAAAGAUUCCGGUUAAUACCCGGGGUUUCUGACGGUACCCAAAGAAUAAGCACCGGCUAACUUCGUGCCAGCAGCCGCAGUAAAAC